rnacentral:rRNA from 1 species
GGUGAACGCUGGCGGCGUGCCUAAUACAUGCAAGUCGAGCGAACAGAUAAGGAGCUUGCUCCUUUGACGUUAGCGGCGGACGGGUGAGUAACACGUGGGUAACCUACCUAUAAGACUGGGAUAACUUCGGGAAACCGGAGCUAAUACCGGAUAACAUUUGGAACCGCAUGGUUCUAAAGUGAAAGAUGGUUUUGCUAUCACUUAUAGAUGGACCCGCGCCGUAUUAGCUAGUUGGUAAGGUAACGGCUUACCAAGGCGACGAUACGUAGCCGACCUGAGAGGGUGAUCGGCCACACUGGAACUGAGACACGGUCCAGACUCCUACGGGAGGCAGCAGUAGGGAAUCUUCCGCAAUAGGCGAAAGCCUGACGGAGCAACGCCGCGUGAGUGAUGAAGGGUUUCGGCUCGUAAAACUCUGUUAUUAGGGAAGAACAAAUGUGUAAGUAACUGUGCACGUCUUGACGGUACCUAAUCAGAAAGCCACGGCUAACUACGUG